rnacentral:rRNA from 1 species
UACAGAGGUCUCAAGCGUUGUUCGGAUUCAUUGGCGUAAAGAGCUCGUAGGCGGCUUGUUGCGUCGACUGUGAAACCCGCGGCUCAACCGCGUGGCUUGCAGUCGAUACGGGCAGGCUAGAAUUCGGUAGGGGAGGACGUGGAAUUCCGUGGUGUAGCGGUGAAAUGCGCAGGAUAAUCAGGAGGGAACACCGGUGGCGAAGGCGGGUCGUCCUCGGGCCGGAUGAUUGACGCUGAGAAGCGAAAGCAUGGGGAGCGAACAGG